rfam:Cellulosimicrobium sp. CTA-896 NODE_6_length_126966_cov_116.729_ID_7, whole genome shotgun sequence.
UUCGGUCCUCGGUAGUGGCCCACGGACCCGUGCCCGUCACGGAAGCCGUGGACCUCGAUCGAAGACCGCC